GAGGGGGGUAGAAUUCCAGGUGUAGCGGUGAAAUGCGUAGAGAUCUGGAGGAAUACCGGUGGCGAAGGCGGCCCCCUGGACAAAGACUGACGCUCAGGUGCGAAAGCGUGGGGAGCAAACAGGAUUAGAUACCCUGGUAGUCCACGCCGUAAACGAUGUCGACUUGGAGGUUGUGCCCUUGAGGCGUGGCUUCCGGAGCUAACGCGUUAAGUCGACCGCCUGGGGAGUACGGCCGCAAGGUUAAAACUCAAAUGAAUUGACGGGGGCCCGCACAAGCGGUGGAGCAUGUGGUUUAAUUCGAUGCAGCGCGAAGAACCUUACCUACUCUUGACAUCCAGAGAACUUUCCAGAGAUGGAUUGGUGCCUUCGGGAACUCUGAGACAGGUGCUGCAUGGCUGUCGUCAGCUCGUGUUGUGAAAUGUUGGGUUAAGUCCCGCAACGAGCGCAACCCUUAUCCUUUGUUGCCAGCGGUCCGGCCGGGAACUCAAAGGAGACUGCCAGUGAUAAACUGGAGGAAGGUGGGGAUGACGUCAAGUCAUCAUGGCCCUCACGAGUAGGGCUACACACGUGCUACAAUGGCGCAUACAAAGAGAAGCGACCUCGCGAGAGCAAGCGGACCUCAUAAAGUGCGUCGUAGUCCGGAUUGGAGUCUGCAACUCGACUCCAUGAAGUCGGAAUCGCUAGUAAUCGUAGAUCAGAAUGCUACGGUGAAUACGUUCCCGGGCCUUGUACACAC
rnacentral:rRNA from 1 species